GUAAAUAUCUGCUGUUUGGGAAAUGGAUUGUAGAGGCCAAGCAUGGAGGUGGUGAGACCAGUGAGCAGGUGAUGGUAGUAACCCAGGGCACAGGGUAGUUGUGACAUUCAAAUGAGGUAACUUCUGUGAAUGCACUUUGAAAGCAGAAUUCCAUUCAGAAAGCAAACAGAGCCUGGUAUGUGGAGACUCAAUAAAAUGUGUUGAAUAAAUGAAACUGCAUCUUCAAGGAGACAGAACUGACAAACUAAGAGGCCCUGAUAGAGCACGUGAUGUAUUUACAGUGACUGAAAGCUUGGUUUCUGUUAGCCUGGGACGUUCUCUCUGAACUGUUAUUCCUGUAUGUUGACUGCAGACUCUGCCUUAUUUUGGGAGCUAUUAACAUCUAUCAGGAUCAAUUGUACAUACUUGUACUAAGAAAAAUUUACUUGACAACUCUGAUGUCUGUGAAAAAGCCAUUACAGAGUCACAGAGAAAGGGGAGAAAAAGGCCAACGCGUGCCAAAGAACCAGAGGAGGAAUUUUUCUCUUGUUUUCUUACUAACUCCUGUCAUUCUCCCUCUUUCUAGCCCC
rnacentral:lncRNA from 1 species